rnacentral:lncRNA from 1 species
CUUUCCAUGCGGAAACCUGAUAAUCCAGUGGAGCUUUUGCUGCUAGAUUGUACACUGGAGACAUGGAGACAGACACACCAUACACUGAGAAAGAUGUAGCGUCCCCUCCCUGCAUGAGAUUCUAAAGGAAUAGGAAAUGCUGGGACGGAGUCGCUGCCGCAGCAUGGCUGACAGUGGUGUCCCCAAAUUAUGUGAGUUUCAAGCCCCGCAAACUGUGGAUCUACCCUGUGUUGAACUCUUUAUCCCCAACAACUAGCACAGUGCCUUGCCUGACGUAGGCAGUCCACAAGAUCCCCUGGCUGAAUGGAAAAUGAAGAAGUGAUCAACUCACUGGUUUAGAACUCCUCAGCAAGAUUCCUGCAAGAUCCACAAGGGCCCCAGUUAGUUUCCUAGAAACUCUUUUACACCAGCCUACUUUCAAGAAAGUGGAACAGAAUGGGAAAGAAGGAAUAGAAUGAAAUGGAAUAGAAUGAAAAAUAUCACGAGUACAUCACAAGAAGAGAGGGACAAAUUGCAAGAUAAGAUUGAAGAUAUAUAUGAUGCAAAUUAUCUUGAAACUUGACUGACAAGAUAAGGAGUUUGAGUUUCAGACUGUAUCACAGUAAAAAACCUCUGAAAUGUUUGACCAGCAAAUGGAAGGUGCGUGAUAAGGUGUGAGGUUGGUUGGCACCAUUAAAGAUUAAUUCCAUGUUCAAUCAUUCAUUUAAGAAAUAUUUAUCGAGUGUCUCCUGCAUACCAGACAAGGUUUAAAAAGGUGAAGCAUGGGCCAAAUGCCUGAAAUACUGCUAUUUCAAAUCAUGAAAGUCAGGUCAAUCUUCUGCAAUCUGAUUUGUCUAUCCAAAAAGAAAUGCUGUAGGUAUUUCUUGUGAACACGCUAUGAGACUGUGGGAUUUAGCAGAGAUGGAACCAACAGAGAGUAAACAUAAUGCACUCAAAAAUAAAGGAAUUUAUAAGGCACUGGAGAUUCAAGAAGCAAAUACAUGACACAAGGACACCAAAGAAUAUGUUUGUCAAGAAACUUGUCUGAGGGGCCGGCUGAGUGGCGCAGCAGUUAAGUUCGCAUGUUCCACUUCUCGGCAGCUGGAGGUUCGCCAGUUCAGAUCCGGGGUGUGAACAUGGCACCGCUUGGCACACCAUGCUGUGGUAGGUGUCCCACACAUAAAGAAGAGGAAGAUGGGCACAGAUGUUAGCUCAGGGCCAGGCUUUCUCAGAAAAAAGAGGAGGACCGGCAGUAGUUAGCUCAGGGCUAAUGUUCCUCAAAAAAAAAAAAAAGAAACUUGUCUGAGAUUCUGAGUGACUAUGUGCGUGCACUCACAAACUCACACAUAG